rnacentral:rRNA from 1 species
UACGAAGGGGGCUAGCGUUGUUCGGAAUCACUGGGCGUAAAGGGCGCGUAGGCGGCCGCUCAAGUCGGGGGUGAAAGCCCGUGGCUUAACCACAGAAUUGCCUUCGAUACUGUUUGGCUUGAGACCGGAAGAGGUGAGUGGAACUGCGAGUGUAGAGGUGAAAUUCGUAGAUAUUCGCAAGAACACCAGUGGCGAAGGCGGCUCACUGGUCCGGUUCUGACGCUGAGGCGCGAAAGCGUGGGGAGCAAACAGG